rnacentral:misc_RNA from 1 species
AAAAAAUUAAAAAUGGUUGGACCAAAUAGACCACAAAUUGUUCUAUUUGGAUCCUCAAUAGUGCAAUUUAGCUAUAGCCAUGAAGGUUGGGGUUCAAUCCUCACUGAUCUAUACUCAUGCAAGGCAGAUAUAGUGCUUCGUGGAUAUGGUGGUUGGAACACUAGGCUGGCUCUACUGGUUUUGGACCAAAUAUUUCCGAAGGAUGCAACAAUACAACCAUCACUUGUUAUCGUAUACUUUGGUGGAAAUGACUCGAUGAAACCUGAUCCAAAUGGUCUAAAUGCUCAUGUUCCUCUUCUUGAAUAUAUACAAAACAUGAAGAACAUUGUACUUCAUAUCAAGAGCCUAUCGGAAAAGACUCGAAUAAUAGUUCUUAGUACUCCGCCAGUGAACGAGGAAAAAAUCAUCAAGUUGUUCGGAAUUUCUCGACGUUCAAAUGAGAGCUCACAUAUAUAUUCAGAAGCUUGUAUAAAAAUGUGCAAAGAGUUGGGGAUCAAGGUGAUUGAUCUUUGGACUGCACUUCAAAAUCGAAAUGAUUGGUUAUCUGCUCAUUUCACGGAUGGUAUUCAUUUAACAGCAGAAGCAAGCAAAGUUGUGGUUAAGGAAAUCUUAAAGGUUGUGAAAGAAGCAGAUUGGGAGCCAAAUUUACAUUGGAAAUCAUUGCCAAAUGAAUUUGCACAAUGUUCACCUACUAUCUUUGUUGGGACUGAUGGUAACACUCCUCUUAAUGUUGCUGAUUUGGACUUGGACUGGCAAGCCCAAUGGAUCUGACAGUAUGAAUGUUCUGUCAUGUUCGUCGGCGGCCAAGAUAGGAAUUUCUCUAAUAAUUUUUUGACCUGUCUCUGUAUUUUGUAUAAUCACCUCUAACACUUUCUCUUUACAUGUCUAAACUAUCUUAAUCUCGUUUUCCUCAUUUUGUCCAUCAUUCAAGGGGCCAGUCCCACCUUAGUAG